rnacentral:lncRNA from 1 species
UCCUCUUCUUAUACAUAUUUGAUUAAUAAUUUAUUAAUUAUCCAAUUCUCAUUGCGUGUAUUAUAGGAGCAUUAAAGAUAUCAUACUUUGAUAAAAGAGAAGUGAGAAUAAAAUGGAUCAAGAAUAUAUCUGAUAUAAAAAUCUUAAUAUCAUUUAACUAUGCUAGCUAUCAUAUCCCUUAUCUCUAUGAUGUGCUUAGGUAUACCAAAUUUGUCUGUAUAUUUUGUGGACAUCAAUCUCAUCAUCAAAAUCUUGGCCUUUGCUUUAUUAGAGCCCAC